GAGAGAGAGAGAGAGAGAGAAUACAUUAAAUAAAAGAGUAAAAAGUAUAUUGAGACGUAGGAAUUUAAACAUGUUGAACUUUGAGGGAAUAUUUUUGUUUUGUUCCGAGAGAAGAAAAUAGAAAAAAAAACAUCUAUAUCUGAGAACAAAAAAUGAUAAAGAAAACGAGUAAAAUUUAAGUAAAAAAGAAAAAAUAAUGCUAAUGAAGCUAAAUAUAAGAGCUGUAUAGUUUCUUUAACAUAUAAAAAGUAAAGUUGCUGAAAAAAAAGAAAAUUAGAAAAAUCAAAACAAGAUACAAAAGAAGAGAAACAAGACACAAAAGGAAAUUGGAAAAAAGAUUAAAUAAAAAGAAAAGAAGAAAAAGGGAAAGAAGAAACAAAAAAGUUCGCGAAUAUAAUGAAAGUGGAGAAAGAAAAAAUAGAGAAAACAAAAAAAGAAUGAAAAGAAAGAAAAAGAAAAGAUGGAAAGAACGAGCGGAGAAAAGACAUGAAUCAGCCAAACAGAAAGAAAGACAAGGAAAAAAAGCAAAAAAAGAAACGAAACAAAAAGAGAGAAAAGAAGAUGAAAGACGAAAAAAAUCAGUCUCUUUCCUUAAACUCACUCACUUGACCGUUUAGAGGAGAGAAGUGAGUGAGGGAAAGGCCAGCAGAAGGAGAGGAGUCAGCCAAUAAGGUUAAAUAAUAUGUGUGAGAGUAAACCAGUGAAAUAUAACUUGGAGGAACUGAUGAAAUUGUGCAAAUAAAAGUGAGGAACAGAAUAUGUGAGGGAAAGUGAUAUGAUAAAUAUGGACGUGUAAAAGACGACGAAAAAAAGGAGGGAGUAUGUGAGGAGAACCGUCAAAUAAGAACUGGAAGAACUGAUAAUCUGAUAAACUAAGGACAUAAAAGAAAGGGAAGGAACGUGAGUGUGUGAAAAGGAUGAAAUGAGAACGGGGAAAACGGAUAUUCUGGACAAAUAAUAAAGAAACAAAAGAGCGAAUGUGAAUAAAAGAGUGGAAUGGGAACUUGAAGAGCUGACAAACUGUAAAAGAUAACUGUAAAACAAAACGUAAAACCGAAACAAAAAAGUGAAAAAUAAAACAUGAGAAAUGAAACCUUGAAAAACUAACAAACCGGUCACGCAAAAGAAGAAAGAGUAAGUGUUUGUGAAAAAAAGAAAACGUUAAUCUGAAAAUAUAUAUCGUAGUGAUUGGGGAGAUUAAAUCGAAUAGUAUGAAGGAGGAUAAAUCAAAAUGGUAAAGAGGAAGACUAAGAAAAAGGGAAGGAAACGAGGAAUAGAGUAAAUGGGAGAACGUGGCUGUGGAAGAAGAUGAAGAUAAUGAUGAAGACGAAAAGGAAGUACGAGAAGAAGAAAAGACACGAACAUGAAAAUAAAUAUAUGAGGUUUAAAAACAGAGAAAUAAGCCGAUGAAGUGUGAAACAUGUAUAUAGUCUAAGGAAGAAAAGAAAGGAAAAAUAAUAAAGAAAAACUCCAGAAAAAAUUGUUAUAUUAAGAAGAGAGAAAAAACUUGCAUGUGUCUUAGUGUUUGAGAAAAAGAAAAACAAAAACAAAAUGAAUGAAACAUGUAUAUAGUCUAAGGAAGAAAGAAAGAAAGGAAAAAUAAUCAAGAAAAAAUCAAGAAAAAAUUGUUAUAUUAAGAAGAGAGAAAAAAACUUGUAUGUAUCUUAGUGUUUAAGAAAAAGAAAAACAAAAACAAAAUGAAUGAAACAUGUAUAUAAUCUGAGGAAAAGGAAGGAAUAGAAAGGAAAACUAUAAAGAAAUAUCCACUAAAAUUAUUAUAUUUAGAAAAAACAAACAGCUUAUCAGUGUCUUAGUGUAUGAAAGAAAGAAAAACAAAACGAACAAAAACAAAAACAAAAAAACAACAGAAAUGGGCUCUCUAAAAAC